GUGCCAGCCGCCGCGGUAAUACCGGCAGCCCGAGUGAUGGCCGAUCUUAUUGGGCCUAAAGCGUCCGUAGCCGGCCAAACAAGUCCGUUGGGAAAUCGACGUGCUCAACGCGUCGGCGUCCGGCGGAAACUGUUUGGCUUGGGGCCAGAAGAUCUGAGGGGUACGUCCGGGGUAGGAGUGAAAUCCUGUAAUCCUGGACGGACCACCGGUGGCGAAAGCGCCUCAGAAAGAUGGACCCGACGGUGAGGGACGAAAGCUAGGGUCUCGAACCGGAUUAGAAACCCUAGUAGUCC
rnacentral:rRNA from 1 species